rnacentral:sRNA from 1 species
UGACCGACACUUAAUGUGUCUUAAACGGCCAAACGGACAGCCAGGUCAAAAGCCGA